CAGACAGUAAGAAGUCAUCAGGAUGAAAGACAAGGGCUGACUCCCCUGAGGCCCCCACCUUGCAUGGCUGGGGACCUUGGCCUUGAAUCAGAUCUGGUCUGCAUAUCCCUGCAACUGUCAGAGGCUUGGGCUGGGCUGGCCACUUGUUUUGCCUGUUUAGGUUUCCUCUCUCCCACUUAUUCUCUACGUCACGAGAAAACUGGCCAUUGCCCUUGGAAGACGCCAUCAAAAACGCCCCUCCUCAAGCCAAAGACUAAAUCCAAGGGGCUCCACAGGGGAGGGACUGAAGGACCUCCAAGAAGGUCAGUUGGUGGUCUCUUCCUCUAAGGCUGCAGGCAUACGAGGCUGGGCUGGAGUUCCUGGUGGCCCCUGCUCUGAUUCUGGGGGAUGCUUGGAUAUGGCAUCAAGUUGACCGAAGCACAUGGGAGUUUCAAUGACUAGGAUGUGAAGCCAAGAGGACCCUGGAUGCGGAGGAGAGCUGGAAAUUAGGGGACAUACCGUGGGACCACUUAUUGUAGCAGAUGGCAUCAUUCCCAAUUCUUCACCCCUCUCUGUAUCAGGAUCUUAUGCCAGAACACCCACUCCUGGAAGGCGGGCUGGCGCUGCUCAUUCAUCCUGGCUCCCAGGACCAGCUCCGUGCUUGGCGCUCAGUGGGCCUGCGGCACAUGCGCCCUCGAGUGAAUGAGUGAAAAGGCUGUGAACCCCAGAUCACCGGUGCCUGCUCAGAUGUAUGCCAUCUCAGCCAUUCUUCAUAUCUCAUCACAAGAAGGUGCUGUGGACAUCUCCGUUUUUUAGCAUCUGCUUCCCAUGUUCCUUUCCUGCUCCAUGCUCCCCUGACUGCUGCAGACCCACACCCACCUCCGCCUCCUGGCUCACUCCUUACACUGGACUGUGAGCACAGUGUUCUCUGGGCGCCGCCUUCUCCUCCAACCUUGGGCUGACAUCCGAGCAGUGGUCCUUACCUGGGGAGGACUUUCCCCUUCGGUGGACACUGGGCAGUGUCCAGACAGGUAUUUGUCACAACUGGGGAGAUGGCUACUGGUACCUUGGGGGUUGAGACCAGGGAUGCUUUUACUCCUACAAUGCACAGAAGAGUCCCCCUGACUUGGUCAUCUGCCAGAACAAAACACCAAAUCAGUGGUUCUCAACCUUCUGGCCCUUUAAAUACAGUUCCUCAUGCUGUGACCCAACCAUAAAAUUAUUUUCGUUGCU